GGCACCAUGGCAUAGCUGGCUAAAGCACCUGCCUUAUAUACAGGAAAUCCUGGGUGCAACUCACAGUGAUGCCU
rnacentral:tRNA from 1 species